rnacentral:rRNA from 1 species
UACAGAGGUCUCAAGCGUUGUUCGGAUUCAUUGGGCGUAAAGGGUGCGUAGGCGGCGCGGUAAGUCGGGUGUGAAAUCUCGGAGCUUAACUCCGAAACUGCAUUCGAUACUGCCGUGCUUGAGGACUGGAGAGGAGACUGGAAUUUACGGUGUAGCGGUGAAAUGCGUAGAUAUCGUAAGGAAGACCAGUGGCGAAGGCGGCUCUCUAGUACGGUACUGACGCUGAGACGCGAAAGCGUGGGAGCGAACAGG